rnacentral:rRNA from 1 species
GAUGAACGCUGGCGGCGUGCCUAAUACAUGCAAGUCGAGCGAACGGACGAGAAGCUUGCUUCUCUGAUGUUAGCGGCGGACGGGUGAGUAACACGUGGAUAACCUACCUAUAAGACUGGGAUAACUUCGUGAAACCGGAGCUAAUACCGGAUAAUAUUUUGAACCGCAUGGUUCAAAAGUGAAAGACGGUCUUGCUGUCACUUAUAGAUGGAUCCGCGCUGCAUUAGCUAGUUGGUAAGGUAACGGCUUACCAAGGCAACGAUGCAUAGCCGACCUGAGAGGGUGAUAGGCCACACUGGAACUGAGACACGGUACAGACUCCUACGGGAGGCAGCAGUAGGGAAUCUUCCGCAAUGGGCGAAAGCAUGACGGAGCAACGCCGCGUGAGUGAUGAAGGGCUUCGGAUCGUAAAACUCUGUUAUUAGGGAAGAACAUAUGUGUAAGUAACUGUGCACAAAAUGACGGUACCUAAUCAGAAAGCCACGGCUAACUACGUG